rnacentral:tRNA from 1 species
UGCCUCCACACAGGAUUGAACUAUGGACCUUUGCAUUACAAGUGCAACGCUCUACCACUGAGCUAUAAAGGC